CCGCCCACGGCCAUCCCUCUAAACCCCGAGGAAACCCCCCUCUUCCCCCUCUCCCAACCCCCCUCCUACUCUCACCCCAACCCCAAACCCUAACCCGCCGGAGUUGGGGUGUCGCCGGCGCUGGAGAAGAAGGGGAGCCCGCUGGAGUUGGAGGAGAGAAGCCGACGCACGAAUCUUGGCAUGGAUGCAGUGGUCCAAAAUCUUUGCCGAACAGACCCUAAAGAUCGUCGACGAAUGUUUUCUUUUUGGAUCGUCAGCUGAUUUAACUUUGUUUUAUGGUUGAAUUUUCCAAAUCUUCUAAUCAGUGGCUGAGCUUCACUACAAUCCUGAGGGGCUAAUGUGUAAAAGUGUUUUCAAACAAAGGCUAUUAUACAUUUUGUUUUUUGCUAUAAUACAAUUUUUUUCUUCACUGAAAGAGAGGGGAUUUCAAUGUAACAUCCUAAAGCUGGAGGAGGCCAUGACACUCUUUGAUCUUGAUGAAGCUCCACCCGACCACCCUACUCCUAAUUUCAAUGCCAAUCAAUUUCAUUCCUUUUAAAAUUAUCUUUAAAACAAUCUAGAAUUAAACUUGUAAUAAAUCAAUUAUCGGACAAAGUGGUGGGGCAUCUAGGUUCCGGUGCAGAGGAGGAUCUGGUGAGCCAUGAGCGGCAGUGAAGUGGACGUGGCUAAUGGGAGAUCCCUGACGGAGGCUAUAAAUGUUAAUGAGGAAGGGUGCGCCAUGGCGCAUUAUCGACUUACCUUGUUUGGGAUGCAUCGAUGGCCGCAGUGAGACAUGAAAAGGAAUGGAGACAUUGCAUCGCUUUUUCGGAAACAUGAAGCAAAGGCGAAGAAGAGGGCAGAUCUUAUUGAUGAGGAAGCUCAAAUUGAAGAAGAUGAGCCGCCACUAGUUGAGCCACAGCCUGAGCCAACUCUAGUUGUUGAGGCAACAAAUGAAUAGCAAGAUGCACCUCCAAAGUAUGAUGCUAAUCAUCUUCAAUAUGAUCCAGGACUGAGGUCCCCUAUUGCGAGCUAUAAUGUCAAUGAACAAGACGCAGUUCAGCGUGCAUAUAUUCUGAAAGGUCCAAACCAAUGUUAUCCACAUGAUUUCCCAGUCAAGGAAAUUUAUGGUAAGAAGCGCCACUUCAAUUUUGUUUUGUUCAUAAGAUUAUGGAAGCACUUGAAUUGGGUGAAAUAGAAAGUGGGAUUCGAUUAAAUCAAGAGAUGGGAUUGGCACUACAACAAAAACCUCGUAUAGAGGCACUUUUGUAGAGGCAUUUUGUAAAUUGCUUCUAAAAUCAGAAGUUUUAUAGUGUAGAGACACUUUAUAGAGGCACUUUAAAAAUUGCCUAGAAAACUUUUACUCUAGAGACAUUUUUAUAUCAUUUUGUUAGAUUUUAUCUCGUAGAGGCAUUCUUUCGGCACUAUAAAAUGCGUCUAAUAUAUAAAGGCAUUUUGUUGAGACAUUUUAAACUAUGUAGAGACAUUUUUAGAAUGAUAAUGUGUACUAAAGGAUUAAAUAUAAGUAACUAAAGGAACAAGUAUACAAGUAAUGACAUGGAGUUGAGUUGGUUAGUGUAUCAAAGAUUAGAAUGAUUUAACCAAAAGAUCACGAGUUCAAGACUUAUCAAAAGCAAGGAAACUAUUUUAUUCUCUUUUUUGGACUGGUUUUAUAUGUUUGCGGUACAAUUUAGUGUCUCUAAAAAAUGCCUCUACCAUCUUAUAGACAUUUUAUAAAAUGUCUCUUCGUCUGUAGAGACAAUUCACCAUAAGACACUU